UACGUAGGGCGCAAGCGUUGUCCGGAAUUAUUGGGCGUAAAGAGCUCGUAGGCGGCCUGUUGCGUCCGCUGUGAAAUCCCGGGGCUUAACCCCGGGCCUGCAGUGGAUACGGGCAGGCUGGAGGCAGGCAGGGGAGAACGGAAUUCCCGGUGUAGCGGUGAAAUGCGCAGAUAUCAGGAGGAACACCGAUGGCGAAGGCAGGUCACUGGGCCACUACUGACGCUGAGGAGCGAAAGCAUGGGGAGCGAACAGG
rnacentral:rRNA from 1 species